rnacentral:misc_RNA from 1 species
UUCUCUGCAGCAAUGCGAUUUGACUCGAGUCUUUGUUGACCGAGUUUAAACAAAGCUAGAGGAUGGUCAGUUUGGACUAGUCCGAGUGCUAAGCAUUCUUGGGUCUAGGACGGAUUGGACAUUAAAAAUCUAACUUUUU